AUAUCUCAAAUGUGACGCAGGAUUGUCCUAACUGCUUUGAGCCAGACCUUUCUGGUAGAAGGUAUGCCAGGAUUACUGAAUGAGGUUUGCCUGAGCAAGGACAGCAUCUACGAAAAGGACACUCCCUGAUUGUGUGCGGCGCCUGGGGUGGGUGGAACAAGUUUUUCUUCUUGUCCAUGUUGCAAUAUGGGAGGAGAGAGCACAAAUGACAAGGCGGCAGGGACGGAAGUUCCAUAGGUCAAAAGAACAUUGGAGAGGCAAGGCUGCUUUUCUUUCUUCCCUACCAGAGCUGCAUCACGACUGAAGAAUGUCUUCCAUUUUGAAAGUGUUUGGGAGAGACGAGAAGGAAAAGGAAAAAGAAAAGGAAAAGGAAAAAAGCAAGAAAGAGGGUGACAAGAAAGACAAGAAAAAGAAAAAGGAGAAAAAGAAUCCACUUUCAUGUUCCCACAUCACAGCACAGAAGUCCAUGACUGGCACAAAGUGCAUCGACAUGCAUUGAAGUCAAGAUGCUAAUUCGGCCCCAGCAUGAUGGGAAAGAUGAUGACAGCAGCAGCAGCUCAGACAGCGAUUCUGAAAAGGCUCGCAGUGGUGACAAGAAGAAAAAGAAGGAAAAGGAUUAAAUUUGGGGCAGCCAACAACUAGCAGAGGACAUGAGCCGAGUUGCCGAAGAAUGUCUUCAGGGCAUUUGGAAAGGAAGGAAGACGUGUCUGGGUUCAAUGCAUGUAAAACGAAGUGUAUUUGUUUUGUUUUCCAUUAAAACUUAAUACUCUGCUUAAUGCUCCCUUCAUAA